rnacentral:misc_RNA from 1 species
UACGGAGGGUGCAAGCGUUAAUCGGAAUUACUGGGCGUAAAGCGCGCGUAGGCGGCCCGUUAAGUCAGAUGUGAAAGCCCAGGGCUUAACCUUGGAAUUGCAUCUGAGACUGGCGGGCUAGAGUAUGCUAGAGGGAAGUGGAAUUCCGGGUGUAGCGGUGAAAUGCGUAGAUAUCCGGAGGAACACCAAUGGCGAAGGCAGCUUCCUGGGGCAAUACUGACGCUGAGGUGCGAAAGCGUGGGGAGCAAACAGG